rnacentral:rRNA from 1 species
CAGUCGCCCGGGAAUACGGAGGGUGCAAGCGUUAAUCGGAAUUACUGGGCGUAAAGCGCACGCAGGCGGUCUGUCAAGUCAGAUGUGAAAUCCCCGGGCUUAACCUGGGAACUGCAUUUGAAACUGGCAGGCUAGAGUCUUGUAGAGGGGGGUAGAAUUCCAGGUGUAGCGGUGAAAUGCGUAGAGAUCUGGAGGAAUACCGGUGGCGAAGGCGGCCCCCUGGACAAAGACUGACGCUCAGGUGCGAAAGCGUGGGGAGCAAACAGGAUUAGAUACCCGUGUAGUCCCUGUCUCUUAUACA